GACGAACGCUGGCGGCGUGCCUAAUACAUGCAAGUAGAACGCUGAAGGAAGGAGCUUGCUCUUUCUGGAUGAGUUGCGAACGGGUGAGUAACGCGUAGGUAACCUGCCUGGUAGCGGGGGAUAACUAUUGGAAACGAUAGCUAAUACCGCAUAACAGUAGAUAUCGCAUGAUAGCUGCUUAAAAGGUGCAAUUGCACCACUACCAGAUGGACCUGCGUUGUAUUAGCUAGUUGGUGAGGUAACGGCUCACCAAGGCCACGAUACAUAGCCGACCUGAGAGGGUGAUCGGCCACACUGGGACUGAGACACGGCCCAGACUCCUACGGGAGGCAGCAGUAGGGAAUCUUCGGCAAUGGACGGAAGUCUGACCGAGCAACGCCGCGUGAGUGAAGAAGGUUUUCGGAUCGUAAAGCUCUGUUGUAAGAGAAGAACGAGUGUGAGAGNGGAAAGUUCACAC
rnacentral:rRNA from 1 species